UAUAUAUCGUACUCUUGUACUCUAUAAUCAUUUUUUAAUAAUGCUAAGAAUAUAAUAUUCAUUCAUCUUUAUGUAUUUAUGUGUGUGUAUUAUUAAUUAAUAUUUUAUGUAUCGAUAUGUCACUAUAUAUUUCAUAUAUAUGACGAAAUUUUAUUUUAACUUUUUCUCUUAUUUGCUAGAAAAGCUCGUAAUAUUCAAUGGGCACUGGUUAAUACAUAUCUACGAUAAUAACGCUAUUUUUAUUUAAAUUUAAAACCGGUAUGACUAGGUACGAAUGCAUUUUCGCAAUGAUGACAUCUUGCGGUAAAUAAAUCCACGUUUCAGGACCGUAACUUCUCCUUUGUGUGACAAUUAAAUAUACUUAUAUUAUUAUUAUCUUGGUGAAAAUAGCUUCGAUAUUUAAUCAAAUUUAAAUAAACCUAUUAAAUCCGAUUUAUUAAAUUUUGGAUUUUUAUACUGGAUUUUAUACUGGUAGCAAAAGUAUAAACAGUUUACGAAAUGUAAAUUCAAGAAAUUAAAAAUAAGAUUAAAUAUUCUUUCUUAAUGGGGGUGUAGUUUUCGUAAAAAUCGUAAAAAAAUAACUUAAUUAAAAUAAAUUCCAAUGUUACUAUCAAUAUAAUCGUACGGUUUCUUAAAAACAGAAUGUUGAAAGCAGUAAAAAUUAACAGAAAAAUACGUUUAAAAUUCAUUUUCCCUUCGAAGAAUAUCGGAAAUAAAACACGGAGAGAAUUUAAUAUUAAACAGAAGAAUAUUUCUAUUAAACAAAUGUUUCCGAUCAAUGUUUAUAUUGUUAACGUCAUCUCAUACGGCAUGGGACAUGUUAGUGAAAUUAUUUAUUAAAAUCAGGUAGGACAUUAGCAACGAAGAAGGAACAUAAUACCUCUCGUACAGGUUGCAAUUCACCAACGAAUAAUUUCAACAAGAAGAGUUUAUGAUUUCGUUACGUUGGUUGUAUCAAAGAAUACUGUUCUAUCAUUUUUCUUUCGAAGAGUAUCGUUUCGUACAACAGAAUCUCGCUCUUACUCAAAUUUUAGAGACACUGGAAUGCACGUGGGUAGCAAUAAAGUAUAUUAUUAAUACAGUCUCAACAUCUUCUACUUUCGCGAUACAUGAAAAAUUGAGAAAAUUGUCGGCGUGCGUUUCACCUACAUGUACACAUGUGCAACAGCAUUCUUUCGAUGUUAAACAAAUAGCAAACAAAUUUCGAUAACUCUUACGCAAUUACGUAUAUAUUUGGAUCUCGUUUGUCCAUGAUAGACACCUUCGAGAUUCCACUAACUGUUUUUCGGUCUCGCGGGGAAAUUUGAAGUUGACGAAUAUUUGUUUCUAAUUUCUAGAAUACUUUUCAAUCACGUCCUUGACAGUGAAGAUUUCUCCGGUGAGCUUUCAAACGCUGCCUCGAAAGUAAUUCUUCCCUUUUUCUUUAUUUUCUUUUUUUUCUCUUUUUUUUCCUGUUACUUCUUCCGAUUGAUCGAUAGAGCAACAUUUUUUUUCAAGCUUUUUGCAUCUUGCCGCAUUUCGUUAUUUUAUGAUUCGAAAAUAAUGUCGACAAGAUUAAUUGCCAUGUGGUAAGAUAUCUAACAGAGGCAACACCUAAAACGAGAACCUUGCUCUCGGAAAUAUAAAAGUCGCGCGCGAAGAAACCUCUAUUCGAAAUUCCUGUCUUUCGAAGGACGAUCUUCUACGAUGCUCAGUCUCUCGGAGAAAUUUGUUUACCGAAAAUACGUACAUUUAUGUAUAUUUGUAUAAUUAAUGUAACAUCGUGAGUACUUUUUUGCUGAUUACACACAGAGAACAAAAGUGAUAUACGCGACAUCUUUCUCUUAUUUAUUACUACGCGAGGGAGUCGCGGACAUAAAAUUAACAAAGCAUCGCUACAACUCCCUUUUUUUUCUUUUACGUCGCUUUUAUGUUUCUCGAAUCGCUAAAUGUAUGUAUAUAUUUAUAUAUAUAUAUAUAUUAUAUAUAUAUAUAUAUAUAAAAACCAGCAUUCUUUGUGCACAGUACACUGUAUAUAGUCGACUUCCGUUAACGCGCACCAGUCGAGUGAUUAAUAACUUGAAUUAGUUAGUUACACAUAGUUCAAGUACAUUUACAUACAUAUCCUUAUCACAUACUAUUCGAAAACUCGUGUUAUUUGCAUGUGAAUUAUAACAAUUUCGAUAUGGAUUGUACAUAUAUUAAUGUUCUUUAGUCAGGUAUGCCUGUGUGACCCCCUGAACGAUGUUAUCCUCAUUCUCGACGCGAUGAUACUGAAAUUUCUUUGACAUUUUUUUUUUUUCAUGUUAUUUUUAUAAAAUAUGUCUUUCGAUAAUAGUAUAGAAAUAUAUUUUUUUGACGGACAAAGUCGACGCAGAAAAGAUUAAAUUUCAUUUUAUAGAAGAUACGAAGAUGAUAAAAGGAAGGAAAACAUAUUCAGAGAGAACAUUCAUUGUUGAAAUAAUGUUCGAAUAUCGAAAUAAUGAAAUAUACAAAAUAAAUGAGGGAAUAACGCUUUUAACGAUACGUAAUAUAAUAAUUUAUGUUACGUCGAUCGUUUUGACUAUGUUAGAGAUAAAGGAUAUCGUCGAGAAUAUUGAAACAGCGUAGAGGAGCACGAUGAUAUCGAUAAAUAAACUCAUAUUCGACGUUCAUUAUUUUGCAACUUUCCAUGGAUAGUGUUCUGUUGCAUCGAACAAAUUAGCGUGACAAACGUAGCAUGAACGAAAGAGAUUUUAAUAAUUUUGCACACCUGUUCACUUAGCACACCUGCACAUUGGUAACAACGAUAUCAACGUUUUUUCUUAUCAAUAACGAUAUUAAUAAUCUCAUCUUACUUGUAUCAUUGUAACGUAACUUUAUUGUUAAAACUUAAUGGACAAGUACGUUCAUCGUUCCAAUUUCACUAACAAUUUUCUGCAUAAUUUAAGUAUCAUUAUAAAGUAUAAUUUAAUUAAAACGGGGCAUAGAAUAAUUUUUUAAAUACCUUUUUUUAAAAAGGUAUGCCAAUAAAAAGAAGAUUACAGACGUUUUUCGCAUUUAAAUACAAAUUUCCAUAGAUAUCGAAUCACUGAAAUCAAAUGUAUUGUUACAAUGUUCGUUCUAACUUAGUAGCACUUGUAUAUGCUCAUCGUCCUUUAAGUAUUAACAAAAACAAAAUGGAAUAAAGCGUUUUCUAUUUAUACAUAGUCUAAACAUGUCGCAGUCAGGUUUCCUAAACGCAUUUUAAAUACGCUAUUCAGUAGUGCUUGCGUAUAUGUAUAUACUUCGAUUUAUCUCAUGUAUACAUAUGUAUGCUCUUCAUUAAAGUCUAUUAUUUUUUCUACCAGUACAUUCACCUUGUGGUAUAUGCAAACAGAUCUGCGGAAAAAAUACAAAGAUCAUCGAACGAAUUUUAUUUCUUCUAUUGUUCCAACUUUCUUGCAUUAUAAUUAUCAAAUAAAUAUCUUGUAGUAAUCUAAAGGCUACACAAUUUACACAUGAGAUUUACAGAAAGAAUAGGAAUUACUUUUAAAAAAUAAAACAUUUUAAACGAUAUAAUAAAUUGAGAGCAUUCUAGAAUAAUAUUCAUUCAUUUUGAAUAAAAAUCUAAUCAUUCAAUUAAUAGCAAGAAAAGAAUAAUAUCAUCUUGUAAAAUAAUUAUAGAAAUAUCGUUGUUAAAUAUUAAACGAUGGGAAUAGAUAUAAUGAAAUUUCGUCAAACGAUGUAUCAUUCAUUACUACUAGUAAAAUAUAGUUCGUACAACCGAAGAUUAAUUCGACUCUUUGGACGAGGCCCUCUAAAUUAUUGGAAUUAAGCGUGGCGGCCUUAGGUCAUUUGGUUUAUUCCGAUAAAUAUUCAUUCUGGCACACACGUCUUCAAUUCCCGCGAGUUACUACUUUUUUGCCACUGUGUGAUGUAUGCAUGUAUGUAUACUCUCGAAGCAUCCAAAACAGCAACGAUAUCGAUACACAAUAAUACCAUAUUUAUAUCAGUAACACAUAAUAUAAUACGAUUUUACAGUCAUUUACUUCUUCUUCUUCUUCUUCUUCCUUUUUUGUUCACUGGUAAAUGAUAUAUUGACAACGCUUGGUAUUUUUAUGAUAUAGUUAUUACACUAUCGAUGAUGCUGAUGCUGAUGCUGAUGAUGAUGAUGAUGAUGAUGAUGAUGUUGAUGCUGCUGCUGAUGAUGUUGAUAAUAAUAAUAAUAGUAGUAAUCAUAACAAUAAUCAUAAUAGCGGUAUAACAAUAACAUAAUUAUUAUAAUAAUUACCAUGAAAUAAUACAGAUAGAAAUAUAUACAGCAUGCGUAAUA